UACGUAGGUGGCAAGCGUUGUUCGGAAUUACUGGGCGUAAAGCGAGCGUAGUCGGUUAUUUAAGUCGGGUGUGAAAGCCCCCGGCUCAACUGGGGAGGGUCACGCGAUACUGAUCGACUCGAAGGCAGGAGAGGGUAGUGGAAUUCCCGGUGUAGUGGUGAAAUGCGUAGAUAUCGGGAGGAACACCAGUGGCGAAGGCGACUACCUGGCCUGUUCUUGACGCUGAGGCGCGAAAGCUAGGGGAGCAAACGGG
rnacentral:rRNA from 1 species